rnacentral:lncRNA from 1 species
CUGGUGAAUGAGAGCGAGGGAGGGAGAGAUAGGCAGAAGGAACUUGUUGCCCCUGGUUGGUGUUGUGUAAGACUUGGCUGGCUGUAGCAGAAUAACACUCUUAUUCUCUCAGUGCUUUGAACUCUGGUACCCUACAGCUCCGACCACCCCUCUCUGCAACAGCAAGAACUCACACUAGGUGCCCCUCUCUCGCUCUCUCUCUCUCUCUCUGUCUAUUUCUCUCUCCCCUUUCCUGCUGUGUCGCACUUCUGUUUCUCUUCCCAUAAGUCGUACUUCUCUGCUCCCAUCUCAUUUGUCUUUUACUUUCUCCCACAUCUGCUUGUCUGCUUCAGAUGUGCUGUUGUACCUUUUUGCAUUUGAAGAAAGUUUGUUUUUUCUGUCCUGUUGGACUGAGAACAGGCGUGUACGGCUUCUUCAGCUGCUUGUGAACUUGUUGCCUGACCUGCAUUCAGCAAUCAUGUUUCCCUGUUGGACUUUUGUGAUACAGAACAAAGUGGGAGGCAGGACCACGUGUACUCUACCCCCUCGCAGGAAAGUCAGUUGUUAUAACUUCAAGCAGCGGGCACUUUUAUGGACCUUUGAACCGGUCCGCUGACCACUAUUUUAUUUGUGUUGUAAAAUAUCAUACUUUGACCCUCUUACUUUUUAUUUCAGAGGUACUAACUCAAGUUAAUUGGACUGUUUUGUAAAUCACUGGAUGUCUAAGAUGUGUGUGUGUGUGUAUGUAAUAAAAUAUACAAAAUAUGCUAUAUAUAUAUAUAUAUAUA